UGGGGAAUAUUGGGCAAUGGGCGCAAGCCUGACCCAGCGACGCCGCGUGGGUGAUGAAGGCCUUCGGGUCGUAAAGCCCUGUCGGGUGGAAAGAAUGGUUAUUGGGCGAAUAGGCCAGUAACGUGACGGUACCACCGAAGGAAGCACCGGCCAAUUCCGUGCCAGCAGCCGCGGUAAGACGGAAGGUGCAAGCGUUGCUCGGAAUCACUGGGCGUAAAGGGUGCGUAGGCGGCUUGGUAAGUCGGGUGUGAAAGCCCCGGGCUCAGCCUGGGAAGGGCACUCGAAACUGUCGAGCUGGAGUGCCGGAGGGGAGAGUGGAAUUCCUGGUGUAGCGGUGAAAUGCGUAGAUAUCAGGAGGAAUACCGGUGGCGAAAGCGACUCUCUGGACGAUUACUGACGCUGAGGCACGAAAGCGUGGGGAGCAAACAGGAUUAGAUACCCCUGUAGUCCCUGAGCGGGCUGGCAAGGCGCAU
rnacentral:rRNA from 1 species